CAGAAUAAAAAGAAUAAUCAAUUUCUUCAGCAACUAAGCCAACCACUCAGAUGUCAGCAACGUGAGCACAGUAUCUGAGCUAUGAACCCCCUGCUGCUUCCAGGUGGAGGUCCUUUGACGGACAUUAAGCUCCAGAGGGCUCAGCUAAUGUAAUACAAAAUGAAAUAACAUUGAGCUGCAAAGGUCUAGCUGUGCUAGGUGAAGAGAGGGAAGAAAUAGUUAUUGUUUUGAUAGUCUGCUCUGCUCGAACUUGCAUGAUUAAAACAAAAAAACUGGAAGCAGUGUGA
rnacentral:lncRNA from 1 species